AGUGAACGCUGGCGGUAGGCCUAACACAUGCAAGUCGAACGGCAGCACAGUAAGAGCUUGCUCUUACGGGUGGCGAGUGGCGGACGGGUGAGGAAUACAUCGGAAUCUACUUUUUCGUGGGGGAUAACGUAGGGAAACUUACGCUAAUACCGCAUACGACCUACGGGUGAAAGCAGGGGAUCUUCGGACCUUGCGCGAUUGAAUGAGCCGAUGUCGGAUCAGCUAGUUGGCGGGGUAAAGGCCCACCAAGGCGACGAUCCGUAGCUGGUCUGAGAGGAUGAUCGGCCACACUGGAACUGAGACACGGUCCAGACUCCUACGGGAGGCAGCAGUGGGGAAUAUUGGACAAAGGGCGCAAGCCUGAUCCAGCCAUACCGCGUGGGUGAAGAAGGCCUUCGGGUUGUAAAGCCCUUUUGUUGGGAAAGAAAAGCAGCAGGUUAAUACCCCGCUGUUCUGACGGUACCCAAAGAAUAAGCACCGGCUAACUUCGUG
rnacentral:rRNA from 1 species